rnacentral:lncRNA from 1 species
CCGGGUGAUGUCGCGGGAACUGACUGAAGUAGAGACACUUUUACAUCGUUUAAUCUGAUGGAACCUUCGAUAACUGCCUUUUAACGUCAGUUUCCAGCAGCUGAUGGAGGAAACACCGUCAGCAUGUCUCACCGACUGACCAAAGAAGAGCUGGAUGCUCAGUUCGAACAGUUCCUGAAAGAGUCUGUCUCAGACGACUCGUUGGAUUUUGGUGGUCCUGACAAGCAGCUCGUCUCUGCGUCCAGCCAGAAAUCAGCUCCGAAAGCAGCGGCGUCGUGGUGGCAAGAUGAGCAGCACAGCAGCGGAGAAGCAGAGAGAGAGGCGACCAAACGCAGGUUUCUCAAAGCCAAAAAGACUCAGCCGGAAGAAAACCAGGACGUGAAUGUGGAGACGUUAGAUAAACCCGUCCCCAGACCGGGCUGCGUGGCCCCGGACGAGCCGGUCCAGUCUCCCUCAGACUGGAAGUCUAAGAGCCGGAGAGCCUCGUCCGAAGAGUCGGACAGAGGGAGCGUCCCCUCUCAGGACGGGGACGGGGACGGGAGCCCCGGGCAGACCAGUGGACGUCCUCCAGCCGGCUCUGGCAGCGGUCCUGAUGGUAACUGAUGGUAGUGUAGUCCCCGAGCUCAGCUGGGUCCUCACUUCCUGCUCGCUUCAUGUCUGACACAUCAACCCGCCAAACCCGAGGCCUGUGGGUCGAAUCCGGCACCUGAGAACUU